CAGCAGCCGCGGGAAUACAGAGGGUGCGAGCGUUAAUCGGAUUUACUGGGCGUAAAGCGUGCGUAGGCGGCUUCUUAAGUCGGAUGUGAAAUCCCUGAGCUUAACUUAGGAAUUGCAUUCGAUACUGGGAAGCUAGAGUAUGGGAGAGGAUGGUAGAAUUCCAGGUGUAGCGGUGAAAUGCGUAGAGAUCUGGAGGAAUACCGAUGGCGAAGGCAGCCAUCUGGCCUAAUACUGACGCUGAGGUACGAAAGCAUGGGGAGCAAACAGGAUUAGAUACCCCAGUAGUCCCUGUCUCUUAUAA
rnacentral:rRNA from 1 species